rfam:Sus scrofa isolate TJ Tabasco breed Duroc chromosome 1, whole genome shotgun sequence.
UCCUUGGUAGCCUAGUGGUUAAGGACUCAGCACUGUCACUGCUUUGGCACAGGUUCGAUCCCUAGCCUAGGAA